GACGAACGCUGGCGGCGUGCUUAACACAUGCAAGUCGAACGCUGAAGCUUGGUGCUUGCACUGGGUGGAUGAGUGGCGAACGGGCGAGUAAUACGUGAGUAACCUGCCCUUGACUCUGGGAUAAGCCUGGGAAACUGGGUCUAAUACUGGAUACGACAUGUCACCGCAUGGUGGUGUGUGGAAAGGGUUUUACUGGUUUUGGAUGGGCUCACGGCCUAUCAGCUUGUUGGUGGGGUAAUGGCUCACCAAGGCGACGACGGGUAGCCGGCCUGAGAGGGUGACCGGCCACACUGGGACUGAGACACGGCCCAGACUCCUACGGGAGGCAGCAGUGGGGAAUAUUGCACAAUGGGCGGAAGCCUGAUGCAGCGACGCCGCGUGAGGAAUGACGGCCUUCGGGUUGUAAACCUCUUUCAGCACGGAAGAAGCGAAAGUGACGGUACGUGCAGAAGAAGCGCCGGCUAACUACGUG
rnacentral:rRNA from 1 species